UUGAAUAAACUUGGUUAGGUUGUUGCUGGCUCUUAGGAGCAUGUGCACGCCGACUCCAUUUUUAACCACCUGUGCACCUUGCGUAGAUCUGAUAAUCUCGAGGAAACUCGGUUUGAGAAUUGCUAUAUAGCUCUUCUUGUAAUCAGGUCUAUGUUUCUAUAUACCCCACACGAAUGUAAUUGAAUGUCAUAAAUGGCCUUUGUGCCUUUAAAAACAAAUA
rnacentral:misc_RNA from 1 species